rnacentral:rRNA from 1 species
UCGAACGCGAAAGGGCUUCGGCCCUGAGUAGAGUGGCAAACGGGUGAGUAACACGUGGGUGACCUGCCUUCGAGUGGGGGAUAACGUCCCGAAAGGGACGCUAAUACCGCAUGACAUCCUGCUUUUGGAAAAGCGGCAAUCAAAGCUGGGGAUCGCAAGACCUGGCGCUUGAAGAGGGGCCCGCGCCUGAUUAGCUAGUUGGUGGGGUAAUGGCUCACCAAGGCGACGAUCAGUAUCCGGCCUGAGAGGGCGGACGGACACACUGGGACUGAGACACGGCCCAGACUCCUACGGGAGGCAGCAGUGGGGAAUUGUUCGCAAUGGGCGCAAGCCUGACGACGCAACGCCGCGUGGAGGACGAAGAUCUUCGGGUCGUAAACUCCUGUCGAGCGGGAAGAACGCCUCGCGGGUGAAUAGCCCGCGGGGGUGACGGUACCGCUAAAGGAAGCCCCGGCUAACUCCGUGCCAGCAGCCGCGGUAAUACGGGGGGGGCAAGCGUUGUUCGGAAUUACUGGGCGUAAAGGGCUCGUAGGCGGCUGGCUAAGUCGGAUGUGAAAUCCCCAGGCUUAACUUGGGAACUGCAUCCGAUACUGGCUGGCUUGAAUCCGGGAGAGGGAUGCAGAAUUCCAGGUGUAGCGGUGAAAUGCGUAGAUAUCUGGAGGAAUACCGGUGGCGAAGGCGGUAUCCUGGACCGGCAUUGACGCUGAUGAGCGAGAGCCAGGGGAGCAAACGGGAUUAGAUACCCCGGUAGUCCUGGCCCUAAACGAUGAAUGCUUGGUGUGACGGGUAUCGAUCCCUGUCGUGCCGAAGCUAACGCAUUAAGCA